rnacentral:rRNA from 1 species
AUGACGAGCAGCCCCAACGAACACGGAGGUGGAGAAGAUCACGUGCCGGCUGCUGCGGCGACCGAGGCCCCGCAGAAGGCACCGGAAGCGUCGCCGGACAGUUGUGACUUCCCUGCGUGCUUGAGCAGGGAAGCAGCCAUGGCCGUAUGGAAGGAGAACCCCCGCAGCCACAGCUUCCACGCAUGGUUAUGGGAGAGCUGGAUCAAGGGCGGCGGGACAUGCCCCGCGUGCCGCCGCGAGCUGCCGACGCCGUGUGAUGAUCCGGAGCAAGAUCUCUACGCGGUACAUCCUCUGAUGCGGUCCAAAUACGAGAAGCUUCGCUACACCUUGGAGUAUAGGGAUGGAAGCAGGGAUAUGUACCAGGAGGAUGGCCAGGUCGUCAAGUACACUUCAUAG